rnacentral:tRNA from 1 species
AGCCAUGUAGCCCAAUGGUAGAGCUUUUGCCUCGUACAUGCAAGACUCUGGGUUCGAUCCCCAGCACCGCCA